UACAGAGGUCCCAAGCGUUGUUCGGAUUCAUUGGGCGUAAAGGGUGUGUAGGUGGCGCCGUAAGUCGGGUGUGAAAUUUCGGAGCUUAACUCCGAAACUGCAUUCGAUACUGCCGUGCUUGAGGACUGGAGAGGAGACUGGAAUUUACGGUGUAGCGGUGAAAUGCGUAGAUAUCGUAAGGAAGACCAGUGGCGAAGGCGGGUCUCUGGACAGUUCCUGACGCUGAGGCACGAAGGUCAGGGGAGCAAACGGG
rnacentral:rRNA from 1 species